rnacentral:rRNA from 1 species
UACGUAGGGUGCGAGCGUUGUCCGGAAUUAUUGGGCGUAAAGGGCUCGUAGGCGGUUUGUCGCGUCGGGAGUGAAAACUCAGGGCUCAACCCUGAGCGUGCUUCCGAUACGGGCAGACUAGAGGUAUUCAGGGGAGAACGGAAUUCCUGGUGUAGCGGUGGAAUGCGCAGAUAUCAGGAAGAACACCCGUGGCGAAGGCGGUUCUCUGGGACGGUACUGACGCUGAGACGCGAAAGCGUGGGGAGCGAACAGG